CACCAUGCUUGCAAAGUAGCUUAACAUUGAACAGCAGAUGUGUCUGCUGUAUGUUAUGUGAUUUAGGGACAGAGACCAAAUGUUGAAUGUAUGGGUGGCAUGAGAAUUCGCGUGGUAGCGGAACCGCAGCCUGGACUUCCGGUCCUCUAGCCCGCCGGCGCAGCAGUGCAUGCGCAGAUUCCCCGUCCUCGAAUAUUCCUCCGUUCCGCGGUUUCUCCGCCUCGACACGCCCCCCCUGCCGUUCAAUGACCGGGGAUUGGAAACCCGUGCCGUCAGUCACUGGCCAGCGGGCGGGGCUUCCUACCAUCUCAUCCGCCGCCGCAGAGGGGCUCCCGCCGCCCACUGGAAGCCUCUCCGUGCCGUCAGUCACGGUGCCAUUCGGUACGACCGGAAACAGCGAGCAGGACGGGGCACGCAUGAGGCGAAGCUUCCUGACUGGACUGCAUCUCCCAUCAACCCCUGCGGCCGCAGCAGACCGAUCGGACUUCCUGUCCGGGCCGGAGGCACAUCCUGUCUGGCGCAGAAAGUUAUGGUUCAAUAAUUCUAGUGCAUGCUGGGAGUUGUAGUUACUUCCCUCCUCGCGCGGGAUCUCCUGUUUGCCACAGGAAGUGAGGUGGCGGUAGCCCCUAGGCAUGCUAGGAGUCGUAAUUCUGUCCCAGUCCCGGGUUUGGGUCCUCUGAGCCCCGCGAGGUUUUUCUCUGAUUGGCGAGCACAGCUCAGUGGGCGGAGACGGUGAUUGACAGGCGGAGGGGGCGGCUACAUCACUGCGUUUGUUUAUAUAUUGAGAAAAGAAAAAUAAAGCGCAAGCCCCUGCCUCAGUCAAGGCCAAGCGGGCGGGGCUUCCUGCUGCGUACCGGAAGUCUCUCUCCUGUUGUCUCAGGUCCGUGCAGUCACGGUCAUCCCCCUGCCUCAGUUCCUUCCUUACUCACAGGAAUCCCCCUGCCUCACUCUUACACCUGCUGUAAAUUCCGCCUCAGCUGAAGACAGACAGUGAAUUCGGUUCCUGAGCCCGCUUCCGCGUUCUGACUCCUGUGACGUCAGAGCCGGCAUCAUCGAGGUGUGCGCGCACUGCCACGCCCACUGACGUAGACUUUGACGCCGAGGCCGGGGUUUCCCCGUCCCAACGGUAACUGCCGCGACCCAUGCGCCCCGGUCGCUCGGUGACCCCAAUGUCAGUCAGACGCCUCCGUUCCCACAGCCGCCGUGACGUGGUUUGAGGAGGACACCCUACCCACGUGGCUAUCCUCAGUUGCGAGUCACUGUGGGAAUUAUCCCAGUUGUCUUUUGGUCUUUUCAUAUAUGUAAAUGUAUUUAUAAAUGCACAUACAAAUGAUAUGUAAUUGUAUAUGCAAUGUGCACGCAAGUGUACAUGUAAAUGCAUAUGUGAAUAAGCAAAUAUGCAAAUGAUAUUCAUGCCCAUGCUUUCAAAUGCCACGCCCACCCUCAUUUAGGCCAUGCCCAUGCAGCUUCAGAACAUGCCCACCCUCCUUUAGGCCAAGCACACUACUCUGAGACCACGCCCAUCCUCCUUCAGGGCACACCCACUACUCUCAGACCAUGCCCAUACUCCUUUAGGACACUUCCACUACAGAAAACACCCACAGAUCUUCAGUCUACUCCCACUAUUCAACAACAAUGCCCUCAAUUGGUCAGGACACACCCAUACUUCCUAAUGCCACACCAAUCCUAUCCAGACCACGCCCACCCAUAAUUCUUUAGGCCAGUUUCACCACACUCAGGCCACACCCUCUGCACCCAGCCAUGCCCAUUCCUUCUAAUGCCAUGCCCACCAGAAUUAGGCACCGC
rnacentral:lncRNA from 1 species